rnacentral:rRNA from 1 species
GGACUACUGGGGUAUCUAAUCCCGUUCGCUACCCUAGCUUUCGUGCCUCAGCGUCAGAAGAGACCCAGUGAGCCGCUUUCGCCACGGGUGUUCCUUAGGAUAUCAACGCAUUUCACCGCUCCACCCUAAGUUCCGCUCACCUCUGUCUCCCUCGAGCACGGUAGUUUUGGGCGCAGUUCCUCGGUUGAGCCGAGGGAUUUCACACCCAACUUUCCGCGCAGCCUACGCACCCUUUAAGCCCAGUGAUUCCGAAUAACGUUCGUACGGUUCGUCUUACCGCGGCUGCUGGCAC